AGUGAACGCUGGCGGCGUGCUUAACACAUGCAAGUCGAGCGAGAUUUGACAGCGUAUCGUCAAGUCUAGCGGCAGACGGGUGAGUAAUAUUUGGGCAAUCUGCCCUUGAGUGGGGGACAACCGGCCGAAAGGCUGGCUAAUACCCCAUAAGACCACAGGGAUGCAUAUCCAAGGGGUCAAAGCUCCGCAAGGGGCGCUUAAGGAGGAGCCCGAAUCCUAUCAUGGAGUUGGCGGGGUAAUGGCCCACCAAGCCGUUGACGGGUAGCCGGCCUGAAAGGGCAACCGGCCACACUGGCACUGAGACACGGGCCAGACUCCUACGGGAGGCAGCAGUGGGGAAUUUUGGACAAUGGGGGCAACCCUGAUCCAGCGACGCCGCGUGAAGGAUGAAGGUCUUCGGAUUGUAAACUUCUUUUAGAGGGGAUGAAUGCCCUGGUGAAUAGCCAGGGGUGACAGUACCCUUUGAAUAAGCCACGGCUAACUAACGUGCCA
rnacentral:rRNA from 1 species